rnacentral:rRNA from 1 species
UACGGGGGGGGCAAGCGUUGUUCGGAAUUACUGGGCGUAAAGGGUGUGUAGGCGGACAUUUAAGUCAGGGGUGAAAUCCCGAGGCUCAACCUCGGAACUGCCUUUGAUACUAUUUGUCUUGAAUGUUGUUGAGGUGGGCGGAACGGGUCAUGUAGCGGUGAAAUGCAUAGAUAUGACCCGGAACACCGAUUGCGAAGGCAGCCCGCUAAGCAACUAUUGACGCUGAGGCACGAAAGCGUGGGGAUCAAACAGG